UAUCUGGUUGAUCCUGCCAGUAGUCAUAUGCUUGUCACAAAGAUUAAGCCAUGCAUGUCUGAGUACCUGCCGACCUUAGGCGAAACCGCGAAUGGCUCAUUAAAUCAGUCACGAUUUACGGGAUUUUGUGAAAUCCUUACUCGGAUAACUGUGGUAAUUCUAGAGCUAAUACGUGCAACUAGUCUCCGACCCCGACCUUGCCUCGCGCUCGGUCGGGGGAAGGGCGCAUUUGUUAGAACCAAAAACCGGGUGGACAGUCGGGUUGCGGCAAUCUGCUGCUGCUGUUCGCUGACUGCCUUUCUCAGUUUCUAACUGUGGGGCAGCCUCAGCAGCAGCAGCACAGCAUUCGUCCUCCUCGUCCAUUCCUCUUCGGUUAUGUGGUGACUCCGGAUAUUUCUACAGCCGAGCGCUGAGGCCUUUGUGCCGGCGCCGGAUCCCACGAGUGUCUGCCUUAUCAGCUUUCGAUUGUAGGUUAUUCGCCUACAAUGGCUGUAACGGGUAACGGGGAAUCAGGGUUCGAUUCCGGAGAGGGAGCCUGAGAAACGGCUACCACAUCUAAGGAAGGCAGCAGGCACGCAAAUUACCCAAUCCCGGCAAGGGGAGGUAGUGACGCGAAAUAACGAUGCGGGACUCUUCCGAGGCCUCGCAAUCGGAAUGAGUUCGAUGUAAAGAAAUGGACGAGGAUCCAUUGGAGGGCAAGUCUGGUGCCAGCAGCCGCGGUAAUUCCAGCUCCAAUAGCGUAUAUUAAAGUUGUUGCGGUUAAAAAGCUCGUAGUUGGAUUUCUGAUGCGGACCGGAAGCCCACCCAAGGCGCGCUACUCGUCUACGGGGAGCUGCGUCCCGAAGUGGUUCUUCCCGUGUCCCUCGGCAAAGGGCCGUUUGGUGUACGCUUCUUCGGUUUGUGGCAAGGGUGCCGAGUUUUUAGAGGCGCAGUCCAACAACCUCUUUCCCGGCUUCAGGGGUCGUCGUACGCGUCUCUCGCAGGCGGCGUCGACGCGUUGGUGUUUUCUGUGUCGCUGUUGAGCAAGCCGGGUUUAGCGAGGGUCGAGCACGUAGAGAUAUCCUUCGGCUUUCCCCUGAGCGAAUCCCGUUGGCGCUGUUAGCUCGUAGCGUGGCAUUAUUUCGAGAGCGGUGUUUCUCUUAUCCUUCCCUGGAUAGAGUUUCGGGUUUGCAUCCGCUGCAACGGAACAGGCGUUCGCCUCUCCCCCGUAAACCCUCUCAUUCGUCCGUUGUCUCGCUCGUCCUCCCGAGUUCUUCUUGAGCGCUUCCGUACAACCAAACCGAUUCGCUUACGCCGUCUUCUUUUAGUAGACGGGUCGGCUUCUCGGGCGGAGUGUGUUCGAGCUGCUCGGGUGCGACACCAAACGCAAAAGUAGCGAUGACAGCGGCGGGUGAUGGUUCGGGUGGACGCGACUCGCGCUGCUGUUUGUAGAGUUGGUUCUCCCGGCUCUAAAAGGGGAUCGGUUCGCAGAUCCCGCGAUACAAACUCGUGUAUUUGUCCCGCUGCAAGCGCACGUCAAUGAUACGGGUGCCACUCGAAUGAAAGGGGUUUGCAAAUUAACGUAGGUUCUUCUACCGGCCUCACCGCACCGUGCUUGUGGCGAUUACAGGGCACUACGCGCUCUUCGUCGUUUCUUCGGAGGCGCCUCUGCGGCGGUUUCGCCCCGGGCUGUUCGGGUAAAUGCUGCUGUUGCUGUCCUCUAUUUUUCGGUUUUUGCCCCUGCGCCUCAAUUCCGUUACAACGCGUAUUUCCUCUCGGUUUCCCGCGUCGUAGGGAACGAUGAAAAACGGGAAGGUUUAAGGCCUUCGGAUGUAUGUCGCAUUUGCUCUUUCGUGGCGGGUCAGCGUACCCGGUGGAUCCCUGCCGUGAUCUGCCGCUGUUUAGAACAGUCGUCGGUUUCUCGCGGGGUGCUCUUCACCGAGUGUCCCGCGUGGCCGACAAGUUCACUUUGAAAAAAUUAGAGUGCUCAGAGCGGGCUAAAAUAUUUACGUCCGAAUGGUAGCGCAUGGAAUGAUGGAACAGGACCUCGGUCCCGCCUUUUUCAGCCCGGUUUUUCGGAACCGAGGUAAUGAUUAAAGGGGACAGACGGGGGCAUUAGUAUUGCGGGGCGAGAGGUGAAAUUCUUGGACCCUCGCAAGACUACCUACUGCGAAAGCAUUUGCCAAGAAUGUUUUCAUUAAUCAAGAACGAAAGUUAGAGGAUCGAAGGCGAUCAGAUACCGCCCUAGUUCUAACUAUAAACUAUGCCAACUAGCGAUCCGUCGGCGUCAUUCCCACGACUCGACGGGAAGCCCCAGGGAAACCAAAGUUUUUGGGUUCCGGGGGUAGUAUGGUUGCAAAGCUGAAACUUAAAGGAAUUGACGGAAGGGCACCACCAGGAGUGGAGUGCGGCUUAAUUUGACUCAACACGGGGAAACUCACCAGGCCCGGACACUGGAAGGAUUGACAGAUUGAGAGCUCUUUCUUGAUCGGUGGUUGGUGGGUGCAUGGGCCGUUCUUAGUUGGUGAAGCGAUUUGUCUGGUUGAUUCCGAUAACGAACGAGACUCUACCCUGCUAACUAGUCGGCGGAUCGACUCCCGAGAUGGGGUUUCCGACCGCGGGGUUUUGCGGGCGGGGGUCACCCAGGGGCCGUCGUAGCUCCGAGGGGGCGGUGUCUAAGGCCGCUGCCGCUGCUGCUUUCCGCCAUGGGUAAGUGCGAAGGCUGAUGAUGAUAAGGAUGGGAGUUACGUGCCGCGCGAACAGCCUCCCUCGUGGGGUUGCCGCGCGUAUCGUAGCUUACCUUCCGUCCGCUCUCAGUCUUUGCCUACUGCCUUUUCGGUGUGGGAGUAGUAGUGCGCGCGGUACAUUCUCGCUUUUCGGGGUCGAAGUUGCGGCGGUUUCCUAGGUCCCCGUCCUGCCUCGUUCGUCGGGCCUCAGCGAGGGGCGUCCGUCGUAAUAUCUUCUUAGAGGGAUCGGCGGCGUCUAGCCGCAAGAGAAAGAGCAAUAACAGGUCUGUGAUGCCCUUUAGAUGUCCUGGGCAGCCACGCGCGCUACAAUGUAGGGAUCAACGUGCUUUCCCCCUCCGAAAGGAGCGGGUAACCCGUUGAAACCCCUACUCGAUUGGGAUUGGGGAUUGUAAGUGUUUCCCAUGAACGAGGAAUUCCCAGUAAGCGCAAGUCAUCGCUUGCGCUGAUUACGUCCCUGCCCUUUGUACACACCGCCCGUCGCUACUACCGAUUGAAUGAUUCAGUGAGGGCAUCGGACUGGCGCCUCCGGUAGCCGUCGUUUCGUACACCAAACUCCGCUUCGGCGGGGGCGAUCGGCGGCACCCUAGGCUGACGGAAAGAUGUCCGAACUUGAUUAUUUAGAGGAAGUAAAAGUCGUAACAAGGUUUCCGUAGGUGAACCUGCGGAAGGAUCAUUA
rnacentral:rRNA from 1 species